GAUGGGCUCGCGACUGAUUAGAUAGUUGGUGAGGUAACGGCUCACCAAGGUGAUGACGGGUAGCCGGUCUGAGAGGAUGUCCGGCCACACUGGAACUGAGACACGGUCCAGACACCUACGGGUGGCAGCAGUCGAGAAUCAUUCACAAUGGGGGAAACCCUGAUGGUGUGACGCCGCGUGGGGGAAUGAAGGUCUUCGGAUUGUAAACCCCUGUCAUGUGGGAGCAAAUUAAAAAGAUAGUACCACAAGAGGAAGAGACAGCUAACUCUGUGCCAGCAGCCGCGGUAAUACAGAGGUCUCAAGCGUUGUUCGGAAUCACUGGGCGUAAAGCGUGCGUAGGCUGUUUCGUAAGUCGUGUGUGAAAGGCGCGGGCUCAACCCGCGGACGGCACAUGAUACUGCGAGACUAGAGUAAUGGAGGGGGAACCGGAAUUCUCGGUGUAGCAGUGAAAUGCGUAGAUAUCGAGAGGGACACUCGUGGCGAAGGCGGGUUCCUGGACAUUAACUGACGCUGAGGCACGAAGGCCAGGGGAGCGAAAGGGAUUAGAUACCCCUGUAGUCCUGGCAGUAAACGGUGCACGCUUGGUGUGCGGGGAAUCGACCCCCUGCGUGCCGGAGCUAACGCGUUAAGCGUGCCGCCUGGGGAGUACGGUCGCAAGAUUAAAACUCAAAGAAAUUGACGGGGACCCGCACAAGCGGUGGAGUAUGUGGCUUAAUUCGAUGCAACGCGAAGAACCUUACCUGGGCUUGACAUGUAAUGAACAACAUGUGAAAGCAUGCGACUCUUCGGAGGCGUUACACAGGUGCUGCAUGGCCGUCGUCAGCUCGUGUCGUGAGAUGUUUGGUUAAGUCCAGCAACGAGCGCAACCCCUGUUGCCAGUUACCAGCACGUGAAGGUGGGGACUCUGGCGAGACUGCCCAGAUCAACUGGGAGGAAGGUGGGGACGACGUCAGGUCAGUAUGGCCCUUAUGCCCAGGGCUGCACACGUACUACAAUGCCCAGUACAGAGGGGGCCGAAGCCGCGAGGCGGAGGAAAUCCUGAAAACUGGGCCCAGUUCGGACUGUAGGCUGCAACCCGCCUACACGAAGCCGGAAUCGCUAGUAAUGGCGCAUCAGCUACGGCGCCGUGAAUAAGUUCCCGGGUCUUGUACACACCGCCCGUCA
rnacentral:rRNA from 1 species